rnacentral:SRP_RNA from 1 species
GCCGGGCACUGUGGCAGGUGCCUGUAGUCCCAACUACCUGGGAGGCUAAGGCAGGAGGAUCACUUGAGACCAGGAGUUUGAGGUUGCUGUGAGCUGUGAUGAAGCCUUGGCACUCUAGCCUGGGCAACAAAGUGAGACUCUGUCUUAA